UACAGAGACUGCAAGCGUUAUUCGGAUUCACUGGGCGUAAAGGGUGCGCAGGCGGCCAAGUGUGUUAGGCGUGAAAGCCUGAGCUUAACCUCAGAAUUGCACCUAAAACUACAUGGCUAGAGCAUUGAGAGGGUAGCGGAAUUCACGGUGUAGCAGUGAAAUGCGUAGAUAUCGUGAGGAACACCAGAGGCGAAGGCGGCUACC
rnacentral:rRNA from 1 species